UACGUAGGUGGCAAGCGUUGUCCGGAUUUACUGGGCGUAAAGAGCGCGCAGGCGGUCGUUUAAGUCGAAUGUGAAAGCCCCCGGCUCAACUGGGGAGGGUCAUUCGAUACUGAUCGACUUGAAGGCAGGAGAGAGAAGUGGAAUUCCCGGUGUAGUGGUGAAAUGCGUAGAUGAUCGGGAGGAACACCAGUGGCGAAGGCGACUUCUUGGCCUGUUCUUGACGCUGAGGCGCGAAAGCUGGGGGAGCAAACGGG
rnacentral:rRNA from 1 species